rnacentral:tRNA from 1 species
GCCGAGUUCGCAGGCAAUGCGGUAGAAAACUGGUGAACUACCGGUAGUCGGAUCGCCUGCAGGCCGCAUAAAUGCUUGAAGUCGAACCGGACUCAAAAUCCGGUUUCCGAAAGGAAGUGAGGGUUCGAGUCCCUCUCCCGGCACCA